rnacentral:SRP_RNA from 1 species
CUGUGAUAGACGGGGAGUUAGCGGUGCCCUGUAACUUGCAAUCCGCUAUAGCAAGGUUGAACAUCCUCCGAGGUAGAGUUUAUGGAAGGCAGUCGGAAGUAAGUGGCGUUGAUGCCAAGGUCUUAUGCAACGAUGCACUGUGAACCGUGUCAGGAUAGGAAUAUAGCAGCACUAAGCGGACCGUAACGUGUGCCAUAAGGUAGCUUUGGCGGAGCAAACUGCUUUCUUAACGCUUCGGUAAGUUUUAUCGGAGAGGACUCACAG